rnacentral:rRNA from 1 species
AACGAACGCUGGCGGCAGGCUUAACACAUGCAAGUCGAGCGCCCCGCAAGGGGAGCGGCAGACGGGUGAGUAACGCGUGGGAACGUACCCUUUGCUACGGAAUAGCUCCGGGAAACUGGAAUUAAUACCGUAUGUGCCCUACGGGGGAAAGAUUUAUCGGCAAAGGAUCGGCCCGCGUUGGAUUAGCUAGUUGGUGGGGUAAUGGCCUACCAAGGCGACGAUCCAUAGCUGGUCUGAGAGGAUGAUCAGCCACAUUGGGACUGAGACACGGCCCAAACUCCUACGGGAGGCAGCAGUGGGGAAUAUUGGACAAUGGGCGCAAGGCUGAUCCAGCCAUGCCGCGUGAGUGAUGAAGGCCUUAGGGUUGUAAAGCUCUUUCACCGGAGAAGAUAAUGACGGUAUCCGGAGAAGAAGCCCCGGCUAACUUCGUGCCAGCCGCCGCGGUAAUAC